rnacentral:misc_RNA from 1 species
UGGGCUUGACAUGUGGAUGACCGGCCUGGAAACAGGCUUUCCCUUCGGGGCAUCUUCACAGGUGGUGCAUGGCUGUCGUCAGCUCGUGUCGUGAGAUGUUGGGUUAAGUCCCGCAACGAGCGCAACCCCCGUCGCAUGUUGCCAGCAUUCAGUUGGGGACUCAUGCGAGACUGCCGGUGACAAACCGGAGGAAGGUGGGGAUGACGUGUCGUUACCUUA